UCUCCGUUGGUGAACCAGCGGAGGGAUCAUUACAGAGUUUUCACAACUCCCAACCCUCGCGAACCGUACCCAUUCUGUUCUCGUUGCUUCCGGCGGGGUGGACGGGGGGGCCCGAAACGGCCCCCCCGCCCCGCCCGCCGGGGGCGGCGGGCCCUACGAACCUUUAUAUCUCAACCACCAGAAACCGGCUUAGAAAACAAACAAAAGAAUCAAAACUUUCAACAACGGAUCUCUUUGCCCUGGCAUCGAUGAAGAACGCAACAGAUCUGAAGAGCACAC
rnacentral:misc_RNA from 1 species